GAUGAACGCUGACAGAAUGCUUAACACAUGCAAGUCUACUUGAAUUUGGGUUUUUUAACUUAGAUUUGGGUGGCGGACGGGUGAGUAACGCGUAAAGAACUUGCCUCACAGCUAGGGACAACAUUUGGAAACGAAUGCUAAUACCUGAUAUUAUGAUUAUAAGGCAUCUUAGAAUUAUGAAAGCUAUAUGCGCUGUGAGAGAGCUUUGCGUCCCAUUAGCUAGUUGGUGAGGUAACGGCUCACCAAGGCGAUGAUGGGUAGCCGGCCUGAGAGGGUGAACGGCCACAAGGGGACUGAGACACGGCCCUUACUCCUACGGGAGGCAGCAGUGGGGAAUAUUGGACAAUGGACCAAGAGUCUGAUCCAGCAAUUCUGUGUGCACGAUGACGUUUUUCGGAAUGUAAAGUGCUUUCAGUUGGGAAGAAAAAAAUGACGGUACCAACAGAAGAAGUGACGGCUAAAUACGUG
rnacentral:rRNA from 1 species